rnacentral:rRNA from 1 species
AUUGAACGCUGGCGGCAGGCCUAACACAUGCAAGUCGAGCGGAUGAAGGGAGCUUGCUCCUGGAUUCAGCGGCGGACGGGUGAGUGAUGCCUAGGAAUCUGCCUGGUCGUGGGGGAGAACGUCCGGAAACGGGCGCUAAUACCGCAUACGUCCUGAUGGAGAAAGUGGGGGGUCUUCGGACCUCACGCUAUCAGAUGAGCCUAGGUCGGAUUAGCUAGUUGGUGGGGUAAAGGCCUACCAAGGCGACGAUCCGUAACUGGUCUGAGAGGAUGAUCAGUCACACUGGAACUGUGACACGGUCCUGACUCCUACGGGAGGCCGCAGGGGGGAAUAUUGGACAAUGGGCGAAAGCCUGAUCCCGCGAUGCCGCGUGUGUGCAGAAGGUCUUCGGAUUGUAAAGCACUUUAAGUUGGGAGGAAGGGCAGUAAGUUAAUACCUUGCUGUUUUGACGUUACCAACAGAAUAAGCACCGGCUAACUUCGUG